rnacentral:rRNA from 1 species
GACGAACGCUGGCGGCGUGCUUAACACAUGCAAGUCGAACGGUAAGGCCCUUCGGGGUACACGAGUGGCGAACGGGUGAGUAACACGUGGGUGAUCUGCCCUGCACUUCGGGAUAAGCCUGGGAAACUGGGUCUAAUACCGGAUAGGACCACUGCCUGCAUGGGUGGUGGUGGAAAGCUUUUGCGGUGUGGGAUGGGCCCGCGGCCUAUCAGCUUGGUGGUGGGGUGAUGGCCUACCAAGGCGACGACGGGUGGCCGGCCUGAGAGGGUGACCGGCCACACUGGGACUGAGGUACGGCCCAGACUCCUACGGGAGGCAGCAGUGGGGAAUAUUGCACAAUGGGCGCAAGCCUGAUGCAGCGACGCCGCGUGAGGGAUGACGGCCUUCGGGUUGUAAACCUCUUUCAGCACCGACGAAGCGCAAGUGACGGUAGGUGCAGAAGAAGGACCGGCCAACUACGUGCCAGCAGCCGCCGUAA